UACGUAGGGGGCGAGCGUUGUCCGGAGUUACUGGGCGUAAAGCGCACGCAGGCGGUGCUGCGCGUUUGGGGUUACAGCUCCCGGCUCAACCGGGAGAGCGCCUCGAAGACGGCAGCACUUGAGGGCCAGAGAGGGACACGGAACUCCGGGUGGAGUGGUGAAAUGCGUAGAUAUCCGGAAGAACACCAAAGGCGAAGGCAGUGUCCUGGCUGGUACCUGACGCUCAGGUGCGAAAGCUAGGGGAGCGAACGGG
rnacentral:rRNA from 1 species